ACUCCUACGGGAGGCAGCAGUGGGGAAUCUUGGACAAUGGGGGCAACCCUGAUCCAGCCAUGCCGCGUGAGUGAUGAAGGCCCUAGGGUCGUAAAGCUCUUUCGCCUGUGAAGAUAAUGACGGUAGCAGGUAAAGAAACCCCCGGCUAACUCCGUGCCAGCAGCCGCGGUAAUACGGAGGGGUUAGCGUUGUUCGGAAUUACUGGGCGUAAAGCGCACGUAGGCGGAUCGGAAAGUUGGGGUGAAAUCCGGGCUCACCCGGAACGGCCUCCAAACUAUCGGUCUAGAGUUCGAGAGAGGUGAGUGGAAUUCCGAGUGUAGAGGUGAAAUUCGUAGAUAUUCGGAGGAACACCAGUGGCGAAGGCGGCUCACUGGCUCGAUACUGACGCUGAGGUGCGAAAGUGUGGGAGCAAACAGGAUUAGAUACCCUGGUAGGAUAG
rnacentral:rRNA from 1 species